AUUGAUUGUUCCCCUUCCGUAAAAUGCACAACCACUACUGGUUGUGCAUUUUAACACAAAUGUUAAAUGUGCAAAUGUGUGUCUAUAGACAUUGCCUCUCUUACUAGGGAGCUGCUCUUAGAGACGGUACGCUUUACACUGGAUGGCUUGCAGUCCUUCUGGAGUCUGUGAACCAGAAUUGUAAAGGACUAGUAAUGGGAAGUGGUGAGCAGCCCAGCGAGUUAGCCCUUGAUUUCCAUCCUGUGGGCAGAGGUUGUAAAGGAAGAGCAGCGUCAAGGACCCCGUCACGUUCUUUCCUUCUGUAAUGACAGCUCGGCCGUCCCUAGUCCUGGCGGCCAUCACUUAGACUGAAAAUCUGGCUUUACUUGGUAUUCAGUGUAAAUCCAUGUACUGCUCUCUUGGGCUCCAGGGUUGCAUGCACACUGCUGCUUCUGGAAUCAGCCUUAUCUCUGGCAGGGCGACUUGUCCCUGUCCUGCUUUAAACUGUUGCCAUUUAAUUUCUUUAUUUAAAUAGUCCUGAAAACUUUCAUAAACAAUCCUCUCCAAUUAAAAAUUUGCUGAGUUAAUACCAGAUGAGAAUUCUGUGACUUUUAGUGCUGCAAUUUUUCUAAAUCAAACAUGGAAUGUUUUUUGCCAUAUCAUCUGGAUACAAAAAGCUCUGAUACAAGUGAAAUUAAUAAUUUUCGAACUAUAAACGUAGCUUUAAACUGGCGAAUGUAAUAGUACCACAAAUGAAAACAGUUGUAGAAUCAAGGCACUAGCAAAAUAAGAUAAUGUUUAAAAGAUACUCUGAAUUUUUUAAUCUGUCAUAUUUUAACCACAAACAAAACUCCUGAAUCAGGUGACUUGACAUCUAAACUGAGAGGACUCUGUUAGCAGUUGAAAACUGAAUGAGACAAAACUGGGUCUGUGUGUUGCUAAUUGGAGAUAUCUGAGUGAAGAGCCUAUUUCUGUAAAAUUCCUAAACAGCUAAUCUGGCACUUGGAUUUCUUUUUUUUUUUAAGUGAAAAUAUUAAAUACUAGAAUUACUAUAA
rnacentral:lncRNA from 1 species